rnacentral:rRNA from 1 species
UACGUAGGGGGCAAGCGUUGUCCGGAAUCAUUGGGCGUAAAGAGCGCGUAGGCGGCCCGACAAGUCCGCUGUGAAAGUCAGGGGCUCAACCCUUGAAUGCCGGUGGAUACUGUCGGGCUAGAGUCCGGAAGAGGCGAGUGGAAUUCCUGGUGUAGCGGUGAAAUGCGCAGAUAUCAGGAGGAACACCGAUGGCGAAGGCAGCUCGCUGGGACGGUACUGACGCUGAGGCGCGAAAGCUAGGGGAGCGAACGGG